GACCUGGAGGUGUAUGGUACACACACGCACAACUUACGGUGGCUAUAAAUGUUUUGAGUUUGCUGAGAGGCCCUCGUUCGAUUCGAGGCCAGGUCA